GAGUUUGAUCCUGGCUCAGGAUGAACGCUGGCGGCGUGCUUAACACAUGCAAGUCGAACGGUGAAGCAGGAGCUUGCUCUUGUGGAUCAGUGGCGAACGGGUGAGUAACACGUGAGCAACCUGCCCCGGACUCUGGGAUAAGCGCUGGAAACGGCGUCUAAUACUGGAUACGAGUAGCGACCGCAUGGUCAGCUAUUGGAAAGAAUUUCGGUCUGGGAUGGGCUCGCGGCCUAUCAGCUUGUUGGUGAGGUAAUGGCUCACCAAGGCGUCGACGGGUAGCCGGCCUGAGAGGGUGACCGGCCACACUGGGACUGAGACACGGCCCAGACUCCUACGGGAGGCAGCAGUGGGGAAUAUUGCACAAUGGGCGAAAGCCUGAUGCAGCAACGCCGCGUGAGGGAUGACGGCCUUCGGGUUGUAAACCUCUUUUAGUAGGGAAGAAGCGAAAGUGACGGUACCUGCAGAAAAAGCGCCGGCUAACUACGUGCCAGCAGCCGCGGUAAUACGUAGGGCGCAAGCGUUAUCCGGAAUUAUUGGGCGUAAAGAGCUCGUAGGCGGUUUGUCGCGUCUGCUGUGAAAUCUGGGGGCUCAACCCCCAGCCUGCAGUGGGUACGGGCAGACUAGAGUGCGGUAGGGGAGAUUGGAAUUCCUGGUGUAGCGGUGGAAUGCGCAGAUAUCAGGAGGAACACCGAUGGCGAAGGCAGAUCUCUGGGCCGUAACUGACGCUGAGGAGCGAAAGGGUGGGGAGCAAACAGGCUUAGAUACCCUGGUAGUCCACCCCGUAAACGUUGGGAACUAGUUGUGGGGUCCAUUCCACGGAUUACCGUGACGCAGCUAACGCAUUAAGUCCCCGCCC
rnacentral:rRNA from 1 species